GACGAACGCUGGCGGCGUGCCUAAUACAUGCAAGUCGGACGCAGUUGCGAACGGGUGAGUAACGCGUAGGUAACUACCCAUUAGAGGGGGAUAACUAUUGGAAACGAUAGCUAAUACCGCAUACUAUUAGACGGACGUGUGUUGUAUUAGGUAGUUGGUAGGGUAAUGGGCUAACUAGGUAACGAUACAUAGACGACGUGAGGAGGGGGUCGGGCACAAUUGGACUGGGGCAAGGCCCAGAAUCCUACGGGGAGCAGCAGGAGGGAAUCUUCGGAAAUGGGAGGAACCCUGACCGGGCAAAGCCGGGUGAGUGAAGAAGGUUUUCGGAUCGUAAAGGUCUGUUGUUAAGGGAGCGGUACUUAACCAGAAAGGGACGGCUAACUACGUGCCAGCAGCCGCGGUAAUUC
rnacentral:rRNA from 1 species